rnacentral:rRNA from 1 species
GAUUCAGCGGCGGACGGGUGAGUAAUGCCUAGGAAUCUGCCUGGUAGUGGGGGACAACGUUUCGAAAGGAACGCUAAUACCGCAUACGUCCUACGGGAGAAAGCAGGGGACCUUCGGGCCUUGCGCUAUCAGAUGAGCCUAGGUCGGAUUAGCUAGUUGGUGGGGUAAUGGCUCACCAAGGCGACGAUCCGUAACUGGUCUGAGAGGAUGAUCAGUCACACUGGAACUGAGACACGGUCCAGACUCCUACGGGAGGCAGCAGUGGGGAAUAUUGGACAAUGGGCGAAAGCCUGAUCCAGCCAUGCCGCGUGUGUGAAGAAGGUCUUCGGAUUUGUAAAGCACUUUAAGUUGGGAGGAAGGGCAGUAAGCUAAUACCUUGCUGUUUUGACGUUACCGACAGAAUAAGCACCGGCUAACUCUGUGCCAGCAGCCGCGGUAAUACAGAGGGUGCAAGCGUUAAUCGGAAUUACUGGGCGUAAAGCGCGCGUAGGUGGUUUGUUAAGUUGGAUGUGAAAGCCCCGGGCUCAACCCUGGGAACUGCAUCCAAAACUGGCAAGCUAGAGUACGGUAGAGGGUGGUGGAAUUUCCUGUGUAGCGGUGAAAUGCGUAGAUAUAGGAAGGAACACCAGUGGCGAAGGCGACCACCUGGACUGAUACUGACACUGAGGUGCGAAAGCGUGGGGAGCAAACAGGAUUAGAUACCACUGGUAGUCCACGCCGUAAACGAUGUCAACUAGCCGUUGGAAUCCUUGAGA